GGGGCAGUAGCUCAGUGGUAGAGCUCCAGACUGUGGCCCUGGCGAUGCUGGUUCAAUUCCAGCCUGUCCCU
rnacentral:tRNA from 1 species